rnacentral:rRNA from 1 species
UACAGAGGGUGCGAGCGUUAUUCGGAAUUACUGGGCGUAAAGGGCACGUAGGCGGCGACGUAAGUCGGGUGUGAAAGCCCAGGGCUCAACCUGGGAAUUGCACUCGAGACUGCAUUGCUGGAGUACGGAAGAGGAGGGCGGAAUUCCCGGUGUAGUGGUGAAAUGCGUAGAUAUCGGGAGGAACAACAGUGGCGAAGGCGGCCCUCUGGUCCGUUACUGACACUCAAGUGCGAAAGCGUGGGGAGCAAACAGG